rfam:Dipodomys ordii contig_65416, whole genome shotgun sequence.
GGGAAGGUGGCUCAGUGGUAGAGCACUUGCCUCGCAUGCAUGAGGCCUUAGGUUCUAUACCUCAGUACCA